rnacentral:rRNA from 1 species
UACGGAGGGGGCUAGCGUUAUUCGGAAUUACUGGGCGUAAAGCGCACGUAGGCGGACCGGAAAGUUGGAGGUGAAAUCCCAGGGCUCAACCUUGGAACUGCCUUCAAAACUUCUGGUCUUGAGGUCGAGAGAGGUAAGUGGAAUUCCGAGUGUAGAGGUGAAAUUCGUAGAUAUUCGGAGGAACACCAGUGGCGAAGGCGGCUUACUGGCUCGAUACUGACGCUGAGGUGCGAAAGCGUGGGGAGCAAACAGG